rnacentral:rRNA from 1 species
GAUGAACGCUGGCGGCGUGCUUAGCACAUGCAAGUCGAACGGUGAAGCCAAGCUUGCUUGGUGGAUCAGUGGCGAACGGGUGAGUAACACGUGAGCAACCUGCCCUGGACUCUGGGAUAAGCGCUGGAAACGGCGUCUAAUACCGGAUAUGAGACGUGAUCGCAUGGUCAACGUUUGGAAAGAUUUUUCGGUCUGGGAUGGGCUCGCGGCCUAUCAGCUUGUUGGUGAGGUAAUGGCUCACCAAGGCGUCGACGGGUAGCCGGCCUGAGAGGGUGACCGGCCACACUGGGACUGAGACACGGCCCAGACUCCUACGGGAGGCAGCAGUGGGGAAUAUUGCACAAUGGGCGGAAGCCUGAUGCAGCAACGCCGCGUGAGGGAUGACGGCCUUCGGGUUGUAAACCUCUUUUAGCAGGGAAGAAGCGAGAGUGACGGUACCUGCAGAAAAAGCGCCGGCUAACUACGUGCCAGCAGCCGCCGUAAAAC